CAGUUAGUGCAUAACAACACUGCAUAAAAUGAAGACAUUGCUUGUAAUUCUCCUCCUCCUUUCCGUGUGUUCAUCAUCGUUAGGUUAUAGCUAUGGCCUCGAAGAUGUUGAACGACUCUCUAAUUUUCCUCGCAAGAUGCGGUUGAUGAGGGAGCUAAUAAGUGUGCAUGCGGUGCUUGAUUAUUGCGACGGCAAAGCCAACCCGGUGCACGAGCCAGGGAAAGGCAAAGGCUGUGGGAAUUAGGCUAAAACUUGUCCAUGUUGAUUAUCUUCCAUCGUCCUUCUAGAAUGCCAUCUCUUGAUCUCGAUUCGAUUUGUGAUGGUAUAUUGAUUUGAAUGUAUUUUGUGAACAAAAUGUCAUAGAAUAAGAGUUCCUAUGAAGUUAUAAAUUGAAAGUUGAUUAAAAAAAGAAAAAAAAUUGUGUUUAAAAUCAAUUUCUUUAUUUGACAUAA